GACGAACGCUGGCGGCGUGCUUAACACAUGCAAGUCGAACGGAAAGGCCCUGCUUUUGUGGGGUGCUCGAGUGGCGAACGGGUGAGUAACACGUGAGUAACCUGCCCUUGACUUUGGGAUAACUUCAGGAAACUGGGGCUAAUACCGGAUAGGAGCUCCUGCUGCAUGGUGGGGGUUGGAAAGUUUCGGCGGUUGGGGAUGGACUCGCGGCUUAUCAGCUUGUUGGUGGGGUAGUGGCUUACCAAGGCUUUGACGGGUAGCCGGCCUGAGAGGGUGACCGGCCACAUUGGGACUGAGAUACGGCCCAGACUCCUACGGGAGGCAGCAGUGGGGAAUAUUGCACAAUGGGCGGAAGCCUGAUGCAGCAACACCGCGUGCGGGAUGACGGCCUUCGGGUUGUAAACCGCUUUCGCCGGUGACGAAGCGUGAGUGACGGUAAUGGGUAAAGAAGCACCGGCUAACUACGUG
rnacentral:rRNA from 1 species